rnacentral:lncRNA from 1 species
GGUCUUAGGUUUAGCCGACUAGGUUGGACGGAAUCCAGAGUUUUUCCCGCGUAAAACAGGUUCUAUGACUUACACUCAGACAUCAAGAAGCAGAAGAAAUGCAACAACAUAAGAUCCAGGCACUCAAACAGCAUUACAACUCCUAAUGCAUAGUGUUGACUUGAGGCGACUCACAGACCUUCAAAGUCUCACACGACUACCGAUCUAGCGUGGGCGGUAAUGGGGAAAGAUCCCAACGGUCAACUUUAUGAAACAGGGAGGUCAGUUAGCAGCAGAAUUCAAGGCGAAGGGGGAAAACAAGUGUUGGCAUCUAUAACUCUACAAAAGAUAGAAUGUUUGGCUUCUAAACUAGUGUUUGGUCCUAAAGGUCUCGUCCUAGGGUCAAGUAUGGCUCUGAUACCAACUGAUACGACCCAGAUUUUUCCACAAAGGGAAAAAUCCACAGAUUCGAAUUAUAAUGUGAUAAUUCAAAAAUUGAACCAUCGCAUUAUCAUAUAUCAGCUGUUAUCGUAGUCAUACAUCGUGAGAAACAAGAUUACAACACAUUUGCUUUACAACUCUUGAUUAACAAGCUUAUUACAUUGUUUUUCUAGCGG